rnacentral:rRNA from 1 species
UGGGGAAUAUUGCACAAUGGGCGCAAGCCUGAUGCAGCCAUGCCGCGUGUGUGAAGAAGGCCUUCGGGUUGUAAAGCACUUUCAGCGAGGAGGAAGGUGGUGAACUUAAUACGUUCAUCAAUUGACGUUACUCGCAGAAGAAGCACCGGCUAACUCCGUGCCAGCAGCCGCGGUAAUACGGAGGGUGCAAGCGUUAAUCGGAAUUACUGGGCGUAAAGCGCACGCAGGCGGUUUGUUAAGUCAGAUGUGAAAUCCCCGGGCUCAACCUGGGAACUGCAUUUGAAACUGGCAAGCUAGAGUCUCGUAGAGGGGGGUAGAAUUCCAGGUGUAGCGGUGAAAUGCGUAGAGAUCUGGAGGAAUACCGGUGGCGAAGGCGGCCCCCCUGGACGAAGACUGACGCUCAGGUGCGAAAGGCGUGGGGGAGCAAAACAGGAUUAGAUACCCUGGUAGUCCACGCUGUAAACGAUGUCGAUUUUGGAGGUUGUGCCCUUGAGGCGUGGCUUCCGGAGCUAACGCGUUAAAUCGACCG